UCGAACGGUGAACACGGAGCUUGCUCUGCUGGGAUCAGUGGCGAAGGGUGAGUAACACGUGAGCAACCUGCCCCUGACUCUGGGAUAAGCGCUGGAAACGGCGUCUAAUACUGGAUAUGUGACGUGAUCGCAUGGUCUGCGUCUGGAAAGAUUUUUCGGUUGGGGAUGGGCUCGCGGCCUAUCAGCUUGUUGGUGAGGUAAUGGCUCACCAAGGCGUCGACGGGUAGCCGGCCUGAGAGGGUGACCGGCCACACUGGGACUGAGACACGGCCCAGACUCCUACGGGAGGCAGCAGUGGGGAAUAUUGCACAAUGGGCGCAAGCCUGAUGCAGCAACGCCGCGUGAGGGACGACGGCCUUCGGGUUGUAAACCUCUUUUAGCAGGGAAGAAGCGAAAGUGACGGUACCUGCAGAAAAAGCGCCGGCUAACUACGUGCCAGCAGCCGCGGUAAUACGUAGGGCGCAAGCGUUAUCCGGAAUUAUUGGGCGUAAAGAGCUCGUAGGCGGUUUGUCGCGUCUGCUGUGAAAUCCGGAGGCUCAACCUCCGGCCUGCAGUGGGUACGGGCAGACUAGAGUGCGGUAGGGGAGAUUGGAAUUCCUGGUGUAGCGGUGGAAUGCGCAGAUAUCAGGAGGAACACCGAUGGCGAAGGCAGAUCUCUGGGCCGUAACUGACGCUGAGGAGCGAAAGGGUGGGGAGCAAACAGGCUUAGAUACCCUGGUAGUCCACCCCGUAAACGUUGGGGAACUAGUUG
rnacentral:rRNA from 1 species